rnacentral:rRNA from 1 species
UACGUAGGGUGCGAGCGUUAAUCGGAAUUACUGGGCGUAAAGCGUGCGCAGGCGGUUGUGUAAGACAGGUGUGAAAUCCCCGGGCUUAACCUGGGAACUGCGCUUGUGACUGCACGGCUAGAGUACGGCAGAGGGGGGUGGAAUUCCACGUGUAGCAGUGAAAUGCGUAGAUAUGUGGAGGAACACCGAUGGCGAAGGCAGCCCCCUGGGCCGAUACUGACGCUCAUGCA